rnacentral:rRNA from 1 species
UGUAAGCGUAUACCAAAGUUGUUGCAGUUAAAACGCUCGUAGUCGGAAUUUGGCAGUUCCGGAUGUGUGCACGUCGUGUGCGCACUUCGCGGGGAUUGCUUUUGUGGUCUUGCGUAGGAUGAGGCACUUUUAUUAGUGAACGUCCUCACGCAACCACUUUUUUCUGUGAGAAAAUCAGAGUGCUCAAAGCAGGCAUUUGCCGUGAAUGUAUUAGCAUGGAAUAAUAGAAUAGGACUUGGUUCUAUUUUGUUGGUUUGUUGGGACUGAGUAAUGAUUAAGAGGGACAGUUGGGGGCAUUUGUAUUUCGGUGCUAGAGGUGAAAUUCUUAGAUUACCGAAAGACAAACUGCUGCGAAAGCGUCUGCCAAGGAUGUUUUCAUUGA